GACGAACGCUGGCGGCGCGCUUAACACAUGCAAGUCGAGCGAGAACCAGGACUUCGGUCCUGGGGACAGCGGCGAACGGGUGAGUAACACGUGGGUAAUCUGCCCUCGGUUCCGGGAUAGCCCGGGGAAACUCGGAUUAAUACCGGAUAGCCUCACGAGCCUUCGGGGGAGUGAGAAAAGGUAGCUUUGGCCUCUGACCGAGGAUGAGCCCGCGGUGGAUUAGCUUGUUGGCGGGGUAACGGCCCACCAAGGCGACGAUCCAUAGCUGGUCUGAGAGGACGAUCAGCCACACUGGGACUGAGACACGGCCCAGACUCCUACGGGAGGCAGCAGUGGGGAAUCUUGCGCAAUGGGCGAAAGCCUGACGCAGCGACGCCGCGUGGGGGAAGAAGGCCUUAGGGCUGUAAACCUC
rnacentral:rRNA from 1 species